AGAAAUUCGAUACUCUAUAGCUUUUCAGUCAACCUCCAACAUUACCAGGUGUAGUUAAAUUAUUUUUUACUUCAUGUACUUUCAUGUGCUGUAGUGAAAAAAUAAAUGCAAAAUGUUCCCUAAUAAACGAAUAUAUUACAAAUAAAUUUGCUUCAUUUGGAUAAACGGAAGUUCCCGUCGGCAGUGUGGAACGUGAACUCUGCGGCUUGGGUAUGCAAGGUUUCAAAGUUCACAUCAGCAAAGUGUUGCUCAUCCUCCAAUGAGAGCAUUCCGACCAAUAAAAGCCAAAUUGUUGCACCAUACUCGUCUUUCUAUUUUAUGAGACUUUUUGUACUAUGCAUAGAUAAAAGCAUUCCAGUUGAUCAUCGAUAAUCAACUUGUUACAAACGACUGCGAUUAUUGAAUCUCUCGAAGGUAGCCUAUUUGGACAAGUGGUUAGCAGCAGCACCACUAAAGUUAACUAACGACAUGAGCUUGUUUGACUGUGCCUAAAAGUAACUUUAACAGUUACAUU
rnacentral:lncRNA from 1 species